ACGUAGGGUGCGAGCGUUGUCCGGAAUCAUUGGGCGUAAAGAGCGCGUAGGCGGGUGAAUCAGUCUGAUGUGAAAGCCAAAGGCUUAACCUUUGACAGCCGUUUGAAACUAUUGGGCUAGAGUACGGGAGAGGAGAGUGGAAUUCCUGGUGUAGAGGUGAAAUUCGUAGAUAUCAGGAGGAACACCGGUGGCGAAGGCGACUUUCUGGCACUAUACUGACGCUGAGACGCGAGAGCGUGGGUAGCAAACAG
rnacentral:rRNA from 1 species